ensembl:lncRNA novel transcript
CCGAUUUUCCAGGUGCCGUCCGUCACCCCUUUCUUUGACUCAAAAAGGGAACUGGCUGACCCCUUGCGCUUCCCAAGUGAGGCAAUGCCUCGCCCUGCUUAGGCUCGCGCACGGUGCAGGCACCCACUGACCUGCGCCAACUGUCUGGCACUCCCUAGUGAGAUGAACCUGGUACCUCAGAUGGAAAUGCAGAAAUCACCUGUCUUCUGCGUCGCUCACGCUGGGAGCCGUAGACCGGAGCUGUUCCUAUUCGGCCAUCUUGGCUCCUCCACCCGGAUGAUUUUUCUUACUUUCUAUAGUCCUCAUUCUAUAACUUUUGAUCCAAAUUAUUCCAGAGAUUGGAUUAAAAACAAAUGGAUGUGGCAUACAGGGAGCAUCUCAAAUCAUUCAUUCUCACCAGCAGGUCUCAUGUGCUCCGAAACCAACUUGAAGCACUCUCCUUCUUCCUCUAGUUCUUUAGAUCAAGAGGAACUACUUGAAGAGCAGCACUCAACAAAUCUGCACAUCGACCUGGUUUAAAUGCUAAGAUCCUGCCCUUGUAGAUUCGAUGCCAUAAUGAUGAGACUUUCACAAGGUCAAGGGAGAAGUGUGAAAGAGGACUAAUACGUUCCCCAUCAAGCCUCCAGAUGAGAACCCUGUCCUGACCAACAUUUUGAUUGCAGCUUUGCAGAGGACCGAGAUAAACCAUAACUAGACUCCUCACCCAUAGACACUGUGAGAUAAUAAAUGUGUGGUGUUUUAUACUGCUAUAUUUGUAUGCAACUCUGAAAAUUAAUACGUGCUUAACUUUCAUUUAAACUAUGAAAUAUAUUUGAUAAAAAAUAAUAUAUUCAUGUUUUGACAGAAUAAAUAUCUGCAAAAUAACAUAA